GACGAACGCUGGCGGCGUGCUUAACACAUGCCAGUCGAACGGAAAGGCCCUGCUUUUGUGGGGUGCUCGAGUGGCGAACGGGUGAGUAACACGUGAGUAACCUGCCCUUGACUUUGGGAUAACUUCAGGAAACUGGGGCUAAUACCGGAUAGGAGCUCCUGCUGCAUGGUGGGGGUUGGAAAGUUUCGGCGGUUGGGGAUGGACUCGCGGCUUAUCAGCUUGUUGGUGGGGUAGUGGCUUACCAAGGCUUUGACGGGUAGCCGGCCUGAGAGGGUGACCGGCCACAUGGGGACUGAGAUAGGGCCCAGAGUCCAACGGGAGGCAGCAGUGGGGAAUAUUGCACAAUGGGCGGAAGCCUGAUGCAGCAACGCCGCGUGCGGGAUGACGGCCUUCGGGUUGUAAACCGCUUUCGCCUGUGACGAAGCGUGAGUGACGGUAAUGGGUAAAGAAGCACCGGCUAACUACGUG
rnacentral:rRNA from 1 species